rnacentral:rRNA from 1 species
GACGAACGCUGGCGGCGUGCUUAACACAUGCAAGUCGAACGGAAAGGCCCUGCUUUUGUGGGGUGCUCGAGUGGCGAACGGGUGAGUAACACGUGAGUAACCUGCCCUUGACUUUGGGAUAACUUCAGGAAACUGGGGCUAAUACCGGAUAGGAGCUCCUGCUGCAUGGGGGGGGUUGGAAAGUUUCGGCGGUGUGGGAUGGACUCGCGGCUUACCAGCUUGUUGGUGGGGUAGGGGCUUACCAAGGCAUUGACGGAUAGGCGGCCUGGGAGGGUGACCGGCCACCUUAGGACUGCGGUACGCCCCAGUCUCCUACGGGAGGCAGAAGUGGAAAGUAUUACACAGUGGGCGGGCGCCUGAUACGGCGGCGCCCCGUGCGGAAUGACCGCCUUCGGGUUAUAAACCGCUUUCGCCUGUGACGAAGCGUGAGUGACGGUAAUGAGUAAAGAAGCACCGGCUAACUACGUG